AGGAAAUAUUUCUUAAAUUGAUUAGGAAACUGCAAUCUGUGUGAGAUGGACAAUGAAGAUGAGUUUACAUUUUGUCAGGUAUUGAUAUGCUGAUGAAGGCAGUGGGAAAAGACUGUACAUCCUAUUUAGUAUCCUUUUUCAGAACUUUCUUAGAUUCAAUGGUUUCUUCAGGUCUUGCCUGGUUUCUAAACAAAUUUCUAAAAUUUCUUACCAUAUUGAUCUAUGCAAAUUAUUUUGAACAAUUAGUGACAUUAAGGAAUUCUAAUUUUGUUUGUGUGUGGUAACGAGUACUCGAUGCAACUUAAUGCAUCUUGGAUCAAAGUUCUUCAAGCUCAAGACGACCAUCUUUAAUGCUAUGAAAGAGGCUACCUUGAAGGAUCUUUUGAAUGUGAGCCCCGAUCACCAUGUGUUUAAGUAGCUUCUUAAAGAUCUAAUUGUUCAAGAACUAAACCGUAUUGCUGGAGUGGACAAAACCUGCAAAUUUGUGAAGUAUAUGUGAUUGAAGCCACUUGCCAUGCACCAGAUGCCAUAUGUAUUCCUAAUUCUAAUACCAUAACCUUGGCUAGGAUGGCACAUCAUUUUCCACUUUUUAAAUAUACAGAGCAAAUUAAAGCCUGGACUGUGUUUUGCUGCACAUGAGUGGUGCGUGACUGAUUCUUUUGAUCCCAAUAACCAAGAACAUUAAAAA